UGAAUCCAACUAAACCGCACACUCCACCCGUUGUGGUGCUCCCCCGCCAAUUCCUUUAAGUUUCAGCCUUGCGGCCGUACUUCCCAGGUGGCUCGCUUCACGGCUUCCCUACGGCACCGACAACGGUCGCACCGUGGCCGACACCUAGCGAGUAUCGUUUACGGCUAGGACUACCCGGGUAUCUAAUCCGGUUCGUGCCCCUAGCUUUCGUCCCUUGCCGUCAGGUCCGUUCUGGUGAGACGCCUUCGCCACUGGUGGUCCUUCAAGGAUUACAAGAUUUCACCCCUACCCCUGAAGUACCUCUCACCUCUCCCGGCCUCGAGCCGAACAGUAUCUCCUGAAAGCCCAACAGUUGAGCUGCUGGAUUUCUCAAGAGACUUAUCCGGCCGGCUACAGACCCUUUAGACCCAAUAAUAACGGUUACCACUCGAGCCGCCGGUGUUACCGCGGCGGCUGGCACCGGUCUUGCCCGGGCCUUGCUAUGCAAUGCUUUUUAGGCAUCACGACAGCCCGAUUGAACCUGGCACUCGAGGUCCCUUUUUCCCGUUGCCGCAUUG
rnacentral:rRNA from 1 species